GCUCCUUUAGCUCAGUUGGUAGAGCAACUGAUUUGUAAUCAGUAGGUCAACCGUUCGAAUCGGUUAAGGAGCUCCA
rnacentral:tRNA from 2 species